CUUGAAAACAACCUCCAUCCUCUCCCUCUGUGUGAGGGAAUCAAACAGUUCUUGACCUUUACCCGAGUGUAGCCUACGUCCUCUCUCAAGUCUGUUAGGUUAUCCUCUAGUAAAACGCUGUAGUCUUUGUUCUAAUUUCUGUUAGUUAGGUUAUCCUGUAGUCUUUGUUCUAAUUUCUGUUAGUUAGGUUAUCCUGUAGUCUUUGUUCUAAUUUCUGUUAGUUAGGUUAUCCUCUAGUAAAACUCUGUAGUCUUUGUUCUAAUUUCUGUUAGUUAGGUUAUCCUCUAGUAAAACGCUGUAGUCUUUGUUCUAAUUUCUGUUAGUUAGGUUAUCCUGUAGUAAAACUCUGUAGUCUUCAUUCCAAUUUCUGUUAGUUAGGUUAUCCUGUAGUCUUUGUUCCAAUUUCUGUUAGUUAGGUUAUCCUCUAGUCUUUGUUCUAAUUUCUGUUAGUUAGGUUAUCCUCUAGUAAAACUCUGUAGUCUUUGUUCUAAUUUCUGUUAGUUAGGUUAUCCUCUAGUAAAAAUCUGUAGUCUUCGUUCUAAUUUCUGUUAGUUAGGUUAACCACCAGCGCCUCAGAGUUCAGCACCCUCCCCAAGUCUGUGUUAAUACAGUCACAUCCACCACUACCAACUGACAGUCAAGUCCCUUCCCCCCCCCUGCUGUGUUCCAGUCAACACAGCAGUCUGAGG